AGUGAACGCUGGCGGUAGGCCUAACACAUGCAAGUCGAACGGCAGCGCAGUAAGAGCUUGCUCUUACGGGUGGCGAGUGGCGGACGGGUGAGGAAUACAUCGGAAUCUACUUUUUCGUGGGGGAUAACGUAGGGAAACUUACGCUAAUACCGCAUACGACCUACGGGUGAAAGCAGGGGAUCUUCGGACCUUGCGCGAUUGAAUGAGCCGAUGUCGGAUUAGCUAGUUGGCGGGGUAAAGGCCCACCAAGGCGACGAUCCGUAGCUGGUCUGAGAGGAUGAUCAGCCACACUGGAACUGAGACACGGUCCAUACUCCUACGGGAGGCAGCAGUGGGGAAUAUUGGACAAUGGGCGCAAGCCUUAUCCAGCCAUACCGCGUGGGUGAAGAAGGCCUUCGGGUUGUAAAGCCCUUUUGUUGGGAAAGAAAAGCAGCAGGUUAAUACCCCGCUGUUCUGACGGUACCCAAUGAAUAAGCACCGGCUAACUUCGUG
rnacentral:rRNA from 1 species